rnacentral:rRNA from 1 species
AGCGAACGCUGGCGGCAGGCUUAACACAUGCAAGUCGAGCGGGCACUUUCGGGUGUCAGCGGCGGACGGGUGAGUAACGCGUGGGAACGUGCCCUCUGGUUCGGAAUAACUCAGGGAAACUUGAGCUAAUACCGGAUACUCCCUUUUGGGGAAAGGCUUGCUGCCGGAGGAUCGGCCCGCGUCUGAUUAGCUAGUUGGUGAGGUAACGGCUCACCAAGGCGACGAUCAGUAGCUGGUCUGAGAGGAUGAUCAGCCACACUGGGACUGAGACACGGCCCAGACUCCUACGGGAGGCAGCAGUGGGGAAUAUUGGACAAUGGGCGCAAGCCUGAUCCAGCCAUGCCGCGUGAGUGAUGAAGGCCUUAGGGUUGUAAAGCUCUUUUAUCCGGGACGAUAAUGACGGUACCGGAGGAAUAAGCCCCGGCUAACUUCGUG